UAAACAAGAGUGCACACACUGAAAUGUCUCGCCUUCUUUACUAAUCAUUGAUAUUAUGUUGAUAGUCCUAAGUAUAAAGCUUUAUUACAACUGUCACAUAAACUUAACAUUAACCAAGAUAGCUAAACAAAGACCAAUGAACCAUAAAAAUGAGGUCAAGGUCAGAUGAACCAUGCCAGACAGAUAUGUACAGCUAACAAAGCUUCCAUACAACAAAUAUAGUUGACCUACUACUUAUAGUUUAAGAAAAAUAGACCAAAACACAAAAACUUAACACUGAGCAAUGAACUGUGC
rnacentral:lncRNA from 1 species